rnacentral:rRNA from 1 species
GACAGAGGUGCCGAGCGUUAGGCGGAAUCACUGGGCUUAAAGCGUGUGUAGGCGGACCCGUCAGUGUCUUGUGAAAUCUCCCGGCUCAACUGGGAGGGUGCGCCGAAUACUGAAUGACUCGAGUGCGGGAGAGGAGAGUGGAAUCCUGGUGUAGCGGUGAAAUGCGUAGAUAUCAGGAGGAACACCGGUGGUGUAGACGGCUCGUCUGGACCGUAACUGACGCUGAGGCACGAAAGCGUGGGUAGCAAACAGG